UACGGAGGGUGCAAGCGUUAUCCGGAUUCACUGGGUUUAAAGGGUGCGUAGGCGGGUAUAUAAGUCAGUGGUGAAAGCUCCGAGCUUAACUUGGAACUGCCAUUGAUACUGUAUAUCGUGAAUGUCGUUGGAGGUUAGCGGAAUGUUGCAUGUAGCGGUGAAAUGCUUAGAUAUGUUACAGAACACCAAUUGUGAAGACAGCUAACUAAGCGAUGAUUGACGCUGAGGCACGAAAGCGUGGGGAGCAAACAGG
rnacentral:rRNA from 1 species